CCGUCCGCGCCCGCCUCUCGGGGCGGCUCCUCAGGGCGGCCCGCCCCCGGUGUCCUCUGUCCCCGGCGUCCUGUGGCCUCGGUGUCCUCUGUCCCCGGUGUCCUGAGCCCCGAGUGUCCUAUGCCAUGUGCAUCCUUUAUCCCUGCUGUUCCAUGCCCCGAGUAUCCUGAGCCCUGGGUGUCCCCUUCCUUGUCUUCCCUGUGCCUGUCCCCUCUCAAUUUUAUCAUUAGAAUGUUAAAACGAAUUUGAUUUUUCCUUCUACACCUCAUCCCAUCCCUGGACUGCUUCGGUUUGCUAUUGUCAACCAUGUCACAACCUUCUAGAAAUUACUGUGUGUUGCUUUUCAGUGCCUUCAUUAAAAUGCAUCCCUGCCAGGGAGCUCUUUAUCUGUAUUAUACAUAUUAAUAAGGCUGGGUAGCAAUAAUUAAGGGAUGACUAACAUGUUCGUGAGUGAAAGUAUCCAGCAUGGGCUGGAAUUCAUAGGUAAAUAAGUUUUAUAUGUUAUUAAAAUUUGGGGAUGGCUGUUGCUCAUUUCAGUUCUUCCCUCUUUCCCUGGUGUAGCCAGAACUCUUCUCCCAACACUUUGAGAAACUUGUGAAGAGCUGAAGAGGAGACUGUGUCACUGUGCAGCAUUACAGAGAUCUUUUGCAUUUCCUGUGGGUUAUCAUGUGAAUUCUUGUGCUCUCUGUGGUGCAGGUGAUAAUGGAGAAGGAUGGAGUGGUGACAGAAAUCCAUGUAGAGCAGAAUACAUUAUUUGAAGAAGUCUGAGUUUCAGAGAGUUGGUGGCUGUGCUCAGCUUCCUGGAGGAGGAAUUGCAGAUGCAAACACUUGGAUGUGUGUUUGAAGUUUUCCAGUAGAUAGCAUCAGUGGUCACAGGCAGAAUUUGCUGUAUGUAACAGAAGGUUUUCGCUCAGGCUUAAAAGAGGAAUUUAAUUGCAUUCUCAUGAAAGUUAAAUGCUGUUUGCUCAGAUUAAAGGAGGAAGAAACACUCUUCACAUUUCAGCCCCCACACUUCUGAGUGCCUGUUUAUCCCGGAGAGAAGGCGUCAGCCACCAGUUUGUACCGGGAUAAAUAACAAAUCCUCUAAUUGAGAGCCAACGGAUCCUAAUUGACUUUAUGAUCAUCCUCCAGCUGGGCUCAGCCUUCCUCUCCUGUCAUGGCAUGGAGCAUCCUUUGUUUAAGGCACCCUGAGGGCCAGUCUGUCCUAAAUUGCACUGGUAAGAACUGAAAAGAACAGAAUUUUAUUCUGAGCAAGCAGGUAACUGGUGAUGACACCCAAACCAGAAGAAAAAUCACUUUCAUGGGCCAAGAGCUGUUGGUUUUACCUGCACAGGUCGCUGUUAUCUUCUGGUCUCAGCAGAAGAGCAGUGGUGUAAUUAACAGCUUCAUUAAUGCCAGAGUAAUAAUUAUGAACUGCAGGAAUGGCUGUUUCAUCAGGAAUUCUUCUUGUAGAACUGCAGCAGCUUUUUGAUUCUUCAGAAUUCAGGAGAAACAUAUAAAGGUAAAAGAAAUAGUGGAAAAUAUUAUUUAAACUGAAUCUACAAAUAUCAAUAUGCUUAGAAAGAAGAAAUGUUGUAGGUGGAUUACACACUGCCUGUACACAGAUUUCUAUUGUAACAGUGUUUAAAAUGAUUAAUUUUCAUUUAUUUCCUUGCUACAG